rnacentral:rRNA from 1 species
UACCGCCCUAGUUCUGACCGUAAACGAUGCCAACUAGCGAUCCGCCAGUCGACUCAUCGCUCUGGUGGGGAGCUUCCCGGAAACGAAAGUCUUCCGGUUCCGGGGGAAAUAUGGUUGCAAAGCUGAAACUUAAAGGAAUUGACGGAAGGGCACCACCAGGAGUGGAGCCUGCGGCUUAAUUUGACUCAACACGGGGAAACUCACCCGGCCCGGACACCGUAAGGAUUGACAGAUUGAUAGCUUUUUCAUGAUUCGGUGGAUGGUGGUGCAUGGCCGUUCUUAGUUCGUGGAGCGAUUUGUCUGGUUUAUUCCGAUAACGAGCGAGACUCUGGCCUACUAAAUAGUUGACGCAUUGCCACUGUGCGCACAACUUCUUAGAGGGAUUUUCGGUGUUUUCAACCGCACGAAAUUGAGCAAUAACAGGUCUGUGAUGCCCUUAGAUGUCCGGGGCUGCACGCGCGCUACACUGGCAAACGCAACGUGCCUGUCCUGCCCCGAAAGGAGCGGGUAAACCCCUGAAAUUUUGCCGUGAUUGGGAUCGGACAUUGCAACUAUUGUCCGUGAACGAGGAAUUCCUUGUAGGGGCGAGUCAUCAACUCGUCCCGAAUACGUCCCUGCCCUUUGUA